GCCAAUGGAUCAGAUAAAGAUCAAGGUACUCCAACUGAAGAGCCUUGAGACUCUUCUGAAGGGCAGGAAUAACAAGAUUACUGUGAGCAUCGCUGCACCAUAGCUUGGAGGUGAUGAAGAGCUCCUCUCUGGAUUUUAUUAGGCCACGAGAUAAUGCUUCAAUAAUGGCUUCACCGAGUGGCUCCUCUGUUCGAUAUAAUGUGGCUGUAUCGAAGUGUCUAUAACCAAGCUCGAUUGCUUGGAGAAUCGCUGUUUUAAUUUCAUCUGAACCUACUAGAGGAGAAGUUGCUGUUCCCAUGCCCAGUAGUGGCAAUCUAGGACCGCUAGAACCAAGAAGCACUUCUGGGAUGUUAACCAAUGAAUUGCCAUCCAUCUCUGAUCUGAAAAGUUUUCUUUUUCUUUUCUUAACAAGUUUACAGUAUAAGAAGUUUCCA
rnacentral:misc_RNA from 1 species